rnacentral:rRNA from 1 species
UGGGGGAUAUUGCACAAUGGGGGAAACCCUGAUGCAGCAACGCCGCGUGAAGGAAGACGGUUUUCGGAUUGUAAACUUCUGUUCUUGGUGAAGAAUAAUGACGGUAGCCAAGCAGCAAGCCACGGCUAACUUCGUGCCAGCAGCCGCGGUAAUACGAAGGGGGCAAGCGUUGUUCGGAAUUACUGGGCGUAAAGCGCACGCAGGCGGCGUGACGCGUCAGAAGUGAAAUCCCCGGGCUCAACCUGGGAACUGCUUUUGAAACGGUCAUGCUUGAAUCAUGGAGAGGGUAGCGGAAUUCCGAGUGUAGAGGUGAAAUUCGUAGAUAUUAGGAGGAACACCAGUGGCGAAGGCGGCCUGCUGGGCCUUAACUGACGCUGAGGCUCGAAAGCGUGGGGAGCAAACA